GUCAUCACUGCUUUUAAUGGAUGAAAUUGGUUGGUUAGAGCCUGGUGCUGAUAACGCCAAGGCUGCAGGUUCAAUCCCUGGGGACGGCU